UUGCGAACUGCACACCCCUUCACUAGCUAUCAAAAUCACAGUGUACAGUGAUCGAGACAGAGAGGUAGACGGGAGUCGUGGUCCUCGGUGAUAUCGGCCGUAGUGCCCAUAUGCAAUAUCACUUCUCUCUCUCGCCAGGCUAGAGGUGAUGGUGGUCAUGGGUUUGAAUCUAAUGUUGCCAACCGAUCUGAUCUCUAACUAUGGUCUAGAUUGUAGCUUUAUGCAUGCAUGACUUCAUUGAUUAUCAGUUGUCGGAGAAACAAUGAAUUAGCUAUUGAUCUUGAGUUCUUGAUUAUGUGUGGCUAGUUUAAUCUAGGGCUUGUAUUGAGUGAAGUUAUGUUGCUAGUGCGAUGAUCCUAUUUCUUAUUGUGGAUUCAAUUGCUUUGUUUGUUGGAAAAUUCUAUUCUUGUCUAUUGAUUGUUGUUUUGAUGAGAUCUUA